GUUUGGUUUAAAAUGCGUUAAUCCAGCUUGGUUUUCCGAUCCCCUGUGCAGACAUGAGUUGGGUCAACUUUCGAGGUAGGAGGUGCAAGCGGAGGUGGGAGUGGAGCAGAAUUGCCUCUGUCAGAGGCUGUCCCACCUCAUUGUCUGCUUAAAGUGGCUGUGAAACAUGGUCUCCAAGGCAAGUAGCUAACAGGAGGCAGCUACCCGCAAUUAGGCACUCUAACCGCCUCAACUGGAGCUGAGCCCCUGAUGAUAAACGCUGGAGAUUCAUUGCUUUUUGAAAACAUGGCCUGAACAUAGAUUUCUAUAUAAAAUACGUCAAAACCCAUGUCUGAACUUUCUGUUUUGGCUGCAAACUAGCUAGCAGUAUCUUAAACUAGUGUGUGAACUUUGGCUUGCCUUCGAUGUCCCAGGACAGUGAUGCUGCUGGAGAAGAUGACAUGAUUGUGGUCUGGAUUUAAUCUCCCUCCCAUUCGUCUCAGGAAUCCAGCUUGCAGUUAUCUUCCAUGCUGUGGGUUCAAAGCAACACCUGUCUUCCAAGCAGGAUUUAAAAGUGAAGUAUCAAAUAGCAUUUCCCCCGUUUUCUUAGCUGAAUGAAAUGCAUGUUGAAAAAUAGCCAGAUACUCAUCUCAAAGCAAAGUGUCCUUAUAACUGAUUCCAGACUUGCACUUUCUGCCUUUGCAGGACUCCAGCUUGUACCUUUGCUUCCGAACAACAGAAUACCUGGUUCUGCUGGUCUCGAAGACUUGCACUCGCAUUAACUCACGUGGGAGAGAGAUCAGACCCCGGUUCAGAAAAGGGCAUGCUUGAAGUAUAUGGAAGCCAGUCCAUCCCGAUGUCCCCACAGAAAUACAUAAAAUUGUCCCAUCGCUUCAAAAAUUCAACGUGGUCUCCAGGCGCUUUGUUGAAUCAGGGCCUUGAUGACUUUGAAGCAAAGGGGAGUGGCAGCGGGUAAAAAGAGGAGCUUCCCUUUUUGGUUGCACACAGGCACUGCCAUUCCUUACCCAGUGACCACAGGACGCAGAUUGUGCAUCGCCAGAGAAUGCACAAAUGUCUGUCUGCCUUUCCGUGCUCCAGCAGUAAUGAGGGAUCGCAGGAGCGCAGCCAAGCCGAUGCGGCCGCGCAAGGGGCGGUUGUGACCGUAAUUGGAAGAAACUGCCGAAUCAGCCAGAACAACAAGGUUUCACAGCAAAAGCUUGAGCCAGGCAGACAUGUGUCUUAGAAAUACCACACAGAGAAAUUUGAUCUGCAGUGGCCUGACUGUCCAAGGCUGUAUGACCAAAGCCAGGGAGAGUGCUUUGAGGAGGCUUCAACAGCUUUCUUCGGAGUUUGAUGGUAUUUGACGUCCAACCAGAUCACGUCAGUAACAGGUUGAGAAGGUAACCAAAUGGGGAGAAAGCAGGUGCCACAGACAGCUGCCUGCUGCACAUACAAGAUCCUUUUUUUACCAAAUUUGCUGCAAGAAGCAGAGAUUCCCCAAGCAGCCAUUAGACCCUUCUUGCAUUAAUGAUGUGGAUGACACCAGAUUGCUACAACGCACCUUCCUGAAAUCUCAAAAUCUUGUAGCCCUGCACAUCGAUUUAGCUUGUCAGAAGGGUCUUGUGCCUAGUGGUGGCAGUGCCCAAAGGCAGCCUCCAAACCCAGGCUCGGGUAACUGCUUCUGAAGACAGCCAGCAGCGAGGAUCAGCCUUUCCCCACCCGUCCCAUUGGUUUAGAGAGCAGAAGCCCAAGAACAGCUGCACGGCGGCCGAGAGCCUGUCACAGCCCACAGCUGGAAGCAGUUUUCUUGCAGAGGCUGAGCGCAGCUUCCAAGCCCCAGGGUGGAAGGAGGAUACUGCAGGGAAGCGGGGCAAAGCAGAGGAAGGGAGGGAGACGAGGAGCUGUAAUGAAGUGCACGCAUGCAUACGUGUGA